UCACCAUGAUGGCUUACGUUAUACUGUCAAGCACUCCAAUAGUCGAGCAAGCACUCCAAUAGUCGAGCGCGCUGUCCUCUGACAGCUCUUGUUAUCUAAACUUUCUUUUCUUUUUGUAUUAUAACAUCAUAAUUCUUCAGGCUAACUAAAAUAACUUUCCUAAAAUAAUCAAUAUUUAUAAACGCAAGACCUGUGUCCAUCACUUACAUCAAGGUCACACAGGUAAGUUAAAAUUCAGCUUGACAUUUUUGUAACUUCAUCAUUCCUAAAAUAGUUAGAAUUAAAUUGCUUCACUCAAAUGUCAAGGUCUCAUACAAAUCUAGGACCGUUUAGAAAUACUGCAAUGAUCACCUUACAUGUCACAUAUCUUAUGAAAGACUUGCAGUCACAUUAAAGGUCAAAGUCAACUUAAAUUUAUCUCUAGCUCUCAUGUCGUUGUCACUCUGAGAGGUCAUAUAUAAUUGAAGUAUAAUAAUAAUUUUUCUGAAACUUGGAAUUCCAUUUAAGGUCCUAGUUUGGCAUUUUUGGCCGUAGUCUUUGAUUAUAAUGUCCUUUACAUUAAAGCAGUUAUAAAAGGCAAAUUAAAUAAUAACAAACAUCUUAAAACAUGUUUGACAUUUUUUUGACUGGCAUCUAGUGUAACUCAUUGUAUUUACUGCUGUGUGAAGUAGUUCUGAAUUAAAAAAUCUCAACUGCAUUAACAAAUAACUACAAAUAUAAAGGGUAUGUUAACCUGUGCUUGGUGGUUUUUUUAUCGCCUUUUCUGUCGUCCAUCAUAAAAAAAAUUGAGGAAACUUUUCUUCAUGUUAUUAUUUUCAAUGAGUAAUUUAAUCAUCCCCCUGGAGUUAAAAAUAGGCAAUAUGGGAUAAAACUUUGUUCAUAGUCUUGCUUAAAAUUUCUCUUCUACUGCAAAGCCUUGAUCAUCAAACUCGGGUGAGCCAUGUAGGGCCAUCUGGCCCUCUCGUUUUAUUAUCAUAUUACUUUAUUUUACUAUAAUUAUAUCAUAUUAUCUGUGUUAGAACUAGAUAUAAGUGUACUUUUUAUGUUCUUUAUUGCUAUUUCAUUUGUACUGUAUGCAUUUCUUUACCUAAAAUUGGGUAAAUUCCAGAGACCAAUAAGCUCCUGUGUUAAAAAGAAUUAUUGGUUUCCUAGUGUUGUGAGGUGUUAUGUCACAUACUUAGUUUCCAUUAGUAUUAGUGUUUAUAAAUGUAUUUCUUUUUUGUUCUAUUAUUGUCACAUUAUUUUCAUAAUACAUAAUGUGUUGUAUUUUCUUUCAUUAUUAGUUUCAUUUACAAUUCUCGUUACCAUUACAAAUAUUUAUGUUCAUGUACAUAAAUAGUUUAUAGCUCACCUGAGCGAUAGCUCGAGGUGAGCUAUUGUGAUCACUCAGCGUCCGGCCGUCUGUCCUUAAACAAUUUGUAAACAUCUUCUUCUACUAAACCAUUGAGCCAAUUUCAACUAAAUUUCAUGUGGAGCAUCCCUAGGUCAUGGGACAAAAGAAUUGUUAAAAAAAAUUUGAUCACAUAACCAAGAUGGCCGCCAUGACCAUAUAUGGUAAAAACCUUAAAAAAUCUUCUUGUCAGAAACCGCUCAUCAGAUUUUCAAAAAAUUUCACAGGGAUGACCUUUGAGGGCUCCCCUGAAAAAGUUGUUCAAAGAAAUUUGAUUCGUCAAAAAACAUGGCCGCAGGAGCUCGUUGAACUUUGCAUGUUUAUUCGUUUUUGCCUAUUUUGUGAAAACUUUCAAAAAUCUUCCACAUUUUUUGUCCGAUCCUUUCCAAAUUUGCACAGUGUCUUUAUAUCAAUGAGGACACGAACCGUACAAAAAAUGAGCAUUAUUGGUCCAUGAAGUACAGAAUUACCUCUCCUUGAAUUGAGAAAAUGGUGUUUAUGCAAUAAAGUCCAAAUUUUUCAUCCAAUUCUUUCCAAACUUGUAAGGAUUUAGCAUGGUUCAAACAAGGGAAACAACUACGGUUUAUGCAUGUUCUUUUUAUUACAGAUUUGCCUCCCUUUAAUUCAUUCAAAAUCUCAUUUUACAGCAGAGAUUCCAAAUCUGACCUGUAAAUGAGCCCCAUAUUUACUGCUGGUGCUAUGUUACCUUUUCCCAUUUGAUCAUUCUUAAGUAUUGGUCUUGUAAUGCUGCUACUGCUACUGCUACUACUACUACUACUACUACUACUACUACUACUACUACUUCUACUACUACUACUACUACUACUACUACUUCUACUACUACUACCACUACUACUACUACUACUACUACUACUACUACUACUACUACUACUACUACUACUACUACUACUACUAGUACUACUACUACUAGUACUACUACCACCACCACCACCACCACGUCUACUAUUACUACUUCUACUACUACUGCCACUACUACUACUACUUUUACCACUACUACUACUACUACUACUACUACUACUACCACUACUACUACUACUACUUCUACUACUACUACUUCUACUACUACUUCUACUACUACUACUACUACUACUUCUACUACUACUACUACUACUACUACUACUACUACUACUACUACUACUACUACUACAACUACUAUUACUACUACUACUACUACUACUACUACUACUACUACUACUACUACUACUACUACUACUGCUACUACUACUUCUACACCACCACCACCACCACCAUUCACAGUGACAAAAAACGUAUUCACACAAUGGCUGCUACUACAACUUAUAGCCCAUAUAGGGGGGCAUGCAUGUUUUACAAACAGCCCUUGUUUCUAUGGGAUUUUAACCACAACUGUUCAUGUUUAUCUCCGACACAUAUUUUUAGGUCACCUGUCAUGAAGUGACACAGUGAGCUUAUGUGAUCGUGUGAUGUCCGGCGUCCGUUGUGCGUGCCUGCGUGUGUCCGUGCGUCCGUCCGUCAACAAUUUGUUUGUGUAGACAGUAGAGGUCACAGUUUGCAUCCAAUCUUGAUGAAAUUUGGUCAAAAUGUUUAUCUUGAUGAAAUCCGGUUUGGGAUUGUAUUUGGGUCAUCUGGGGUCAAAAACAAGGUCACUAGGUCAAAUAAUAGAACAACCUUCUGUAGACAAUAGAGGUCACAGUUUUCAUCCAAUCUUUAUGAAAUUUGGUCAGAAUGUUUAUCUUGAUGAAAUCUGGGUUGGGAUUUUAUUUGGGUCAUCUGGGGUCAAAAACUAGGUCACUAGGUCAAAUAAUAGAAAAACCUUGUGUAGACAUUAGAGAUCACAGUUUUCAUCCAACCUUUAUGAAAUUUGGUCAGAAUUCUUGAUGAAAUCUGGGUGGGAUUGUAUUUGGGUCAUCUGGGGUAAAAAUCUAGGUCAAAUAAAUAAAAAAAACUUGUGUUGACAAUAGAGGUCACAGUUUUCAUCCAAUAUUUAUGAACUGUGGUCAGAAUGUUUAUCUUGAUGAAAUCUGGAUUGGGAUUGUAUUUGGGUCAUCUAGAGUCAGGAACUAGGUCACUAGGUCAAAUCAUAGAAAAACAUUGUGUAGACAAUAGAGGUCAUAGUUUUCAUCUGAUCUUAAUGAGUCAGGUGAGCGAUUCAGGGCCAUCAUGGCCCUCUUGUUUUUCUUUUUUUUGCUUGAGCACAUAAUGCAGAAGGGUGCCCUUAUCCAUUGAGUGCAAUUACAAAUCUUCAAUUUGUUUACAUUUCCUUAAUUGCAAAGUGUGUUUUUCCAUAUGCAUUCCUAUUCAUUAUAUUUGGUAAGCCCUGAAACCAAUACACCCAAUCAUUAAUUAUUGGUAUUAUUUUGGUGUGCUUAUUUUCUGCCUGUAGAUAAUUGUUGCAUCAAUAUAUCUUCAUGCUUUUAGAAUCAUGUGUGUAAGCAUACAUGUGUAGAUGCAUUUAUUUUAUUUGUGUUGAAUUUGUUCGCUCACUCAUAUGGGAUUUUGUUAGAACUCCUCUGGAUUGUCUAUCAAUCUUUAACUGUUGGCACUCUGACAAACGCUGUCUUUUCAAAAGUUUGCAUCAUCCAUAUUGAAUUUCUGACAAAUGUCGUGUCUAUGUGAAACAUUCUUUUUGGAAGAUUAAUGUUGUCAUACAAAUUUAACAAACCUGCCAGGGGGCCAUUUCAUAAACGAUCGUACGACAAUUUUAACGUACCAGAGAAUUUUAUAAUCUUAAUAAGUAGACGAACUAGCUCGCCAUGCUCGUCAACUAAUAUGGCGCUUGAGAUGCUAAUGUAAUUAAGUACUGAAAAUUUGUAAUCAUAUGAUAUGGACUAAUUAUGCAUCUUCGAAAAUUGUAUCGUAUUGUUAAAGUGUACUAUGAUGUUUAUUGAAACGGUCGCCUGGUUUGUUUGAUGAUGAAUAUAAAUAUAGCGUUUUGUAUAUAGUUCUGCCAUACAUCCGCUAACCAUCAGAAUCAUGUUUUUAUGCCCCAGGAUCAAUAGAUUGGGGGUAUAUUGUUUUUGUCCUGUCUGUCUGUCAUUCUGUCCCAAAACUUGAGCCUUCGUUAAAGUUUGAUAACUUUUGCAAUAUUGAACAUACCAACUUGAUAUUUACCAUGCAUGUGUAUCUCAUGUAGCUGCUGAUUUUGAGUGUUGAAAAGUCAAGGUCAUCCUUCAAGGUCAAAGGUCAAAUAUUCUAUUUUUCUUUCCUAAAACUUUAACCUUCGUUAAAGUUUUAUCAUAACUUUUUAAAUAUUGAACACAGCAACUUCAUAUUUGGCAUGCAUGUGUAUCUCGUGGAGCUGCACAUUUUGAGUGGUGAAAGGUCAAGGUCAUCCUUCAAGGUCAAAAGUCAAAAUAAAAAAAAAUAUUUAAUUUCUCCAUUCAAUCUCUUACUUACUUCUCGUGCAGCUGCACAUUUUUAGUGGUGAAAGGUGAACCCUCAAGGUCAAAGGUCAAAGAUCAUUGUAUUUUUUUUUCCCUAUAACUUUCACUUUUGUUAGAGUUUUAUCAUAUCUUGUUAUGCCUCUGGAUCGAAUGAUCAGGGGUAUAUUGUUUUUGGCCUGUCUGUGUGUCUGUCAUUGUGUGGAAAACUUUAACCUUGGUUAAAAUUUUGCAAUAUUAAAUAACUUUUGCAAUAUUGAAGAUAGCAACUUGAUAUUUGGCAUGCAUGUGUACCUCAUGGAGCUGCACGUUUUGAGUGGUGAAAGGUCAGGGCAAAGGUUAUGCUUUAAGGUCAAAGGUCAAAUAUGUGACUUCAAAGCGGCGUCAAAACUUUAACCUUGGUCAUAUUUUUUGCAUUAUUGAAGAUAGCAACUUGAUAUUUGGCAUGCAUGUAUAUCUCAUGGAGCUGCACAUUUUGAGUGGUGAAAGGUCAAGGUCAUCCUUCAAGGUCAAAGUUCAAUUAUAUGGCUUCAAAGCGGCGCAAUAGGGGGCAUUGUGUUUCUGACAAACAUGUCUCUUGUUAUCCUUACAUUUGAAUGUUUAUGUGUGUGCACAUGUAUUUUUAUUUCUCACAGACUCCAGUUGCUGGCUUUUGCAUUUUAAGCUCACCUGAUUGCUCAGGUGAGCUUUUGUGAUCGGUCUUUGUCCGUCGUAUGUCCGUCUGUCCGUCGUCCACAUUUGGUUUGUAAAUACUCCAGAGGCCACAUUUCUUGUCUGAUCUUCAUGAAACUUCGUCAGAAGAUUUGUCCCAAUGAUAUAUCAAUCGAGUUUGAAACUGGGUCAUGCUGGGUCAAAACUAGGUCACUAGGUCAAAAAAAGGAAAACCUUGUAAACACUUUGGAAGUCACAUUUCAUGCCCAAUCUUCAUGUAAAUUUGUGAAAUGUUUGUCUUAAUGAUAUGUUGGUUGAGUUCACAAGUGGUUCUGGUCCGUUAAAAGACAUGGCCGCCAGAGUGGGGGGGGGGGGGCAGUUUUCCUUAUUUGGCUAUAGAGAAACCUUGUAAACACUCUAGAGGCCACUUUUCUUGUCCGAUCUUCAUGAAUUUUGGUCAGAAGAUUUGUCCUAAUGAUACCUCAAUCAAGUUCGAAACUGGGUCAUGCUGGGUCAAAAACUAGGUCAUUAGGUCAAAAAAAGAAAAACCUUGUAAACACUGUAUAAGUCACAUUUCAUGCCCAUUCUUCAUGUAACUUUGUCAAAAUGUUUGUCUUAAUGAUAUGUUGGUUGAGUUCAAAAGUGGUUCUGGUCCGUAAUAAAACAUGGCCGCCAGUGGGCGGGGCAGUUUUCCGUAUUUGACUAUAGAGAAACCUUGUAUACACUCUACAGGCAACAUUUCUUGUCCGAUCUUCUUGAAACUUGGUCAGACGAUUUGUCCCAAUGAUACCUUGAUCGAGUUCGAAACUUGGUCAUGCUGGGUCAAAAACUAGGUCACUAGGUCAAAAAAAAGAAAAACCUUGUAAAUACUGUAGAAGAUACAUUGACAUGCCCAAUCUUCAUGUAACUUUGUCAAAAUGUUUGUCUUAAUGAUAUGUUGGUUGAGUUCAAAAAGGUAAGCAAACUAGGGCCAUCUUGGCCCUCUUGUUUAAAUAAACAGAAGGGCAUUUCACUUACAAAAAGUUAAUAUUUUCUAAGAGCAAUAAAGCAUACUUAAUGGUAUUUUCUGCUGAUAAUAAAAUACUUAUUCAUUGAAAGAAAUGACUAAAUACAAAAUCAUAACCACAAGUACUUUAAAAUGAUUGGAUAAUACUAUGCUGUCUGAAAAUUAAUUCUCACCAUUAUUGGUGGUGUUUUGUAUAAGUAAGGUUUUUGCCCGUUUUUGAAACUCGAUGCCAUUACUUUGGUUCAUUCUGGCCUGCGUAAUUAUAACAAUUGAGUUUGAUGGAUGUUUGAUACAUGUAUUUGUUGUGUUCUAUUUAGUUUCAUGUUACAUAAUUAGUUAAUAUUAGAAUUAGCGUUAGUUUAAGAGCAUUUAUUUUAUUACAUAUAUUUUAUUGUUUUAUUUGCUUUAUUAUGCCCCUUCGAAGAAGAGGGGGUAUAUUGUUUUGCACAUGUCGGUCCUUCCGUCCACCAGAUGGUUUCCGGAUGAUAACUCAAGAACACUUAGGCCUAGGAUCAUGAAACUUCAUAGGUACAUUGAUCAUGACUGGCAGAUGACCCCUAUUGAUUUUCAGGUCACUAGGUCAAAGGUCAAGGUCAUAGUGACUUGAAACAGUAAAAUGGUUUCCGGAUGAUAACUCAAGAAUGAUUACGCCUAGGAUCAUGAAACUUCAUAGGUACAUUGAUCAUGACUGGCAGAUGACCCCUAUUAAUUUUCAGGUCACUAGGUCAAAGGUCAAGGUCACAGUGACUCGAAACAGUAAAAUGGUUUCCUGAUGAUAAACUCAAGAAUUAUUAGGCCUAUAAUCAUGAAACUUCAUAGGUACAUUGAUUUAAAGGUCACUAGGUCAAUGGUCAAGGUCACAGUGACAAAAAACGUAUUCACACAAAGGCUGCCACUACAACCGACAGCCCAUAUGGGGGGCAUGCAUGUUUUACAAACAGCCCUUGUUUGUUUCUUGUUAUAUUGAUUAUAUACGCAAUAAUUUUAAAAGUUUUGUUUUUGUUUUUAGUUUCAUUUACAGUUAUGUUUACCAUUAUUCAUUUUCAUGAAUAAAUACAAUGUGUUUCCUUUUGGCUCAGCUAAGCAUAUAUUAUCAAUGUGUGACCUAAUCCAUCUAAAACAGUUAAAUGUUCUUAGAGUCUCUGGAACAUUUCAAUCGAUUGUAAAGCAUGACUGACAUGGUUUUUUAAUGUGGUAUAUUUUAAAUUCUGUAUGAAACUUCUUCCAAUUGACAAUUUUUAAAUUACCUCGGGUCUUUUUUCUAAUUUAUGCAAUAGUUUGCAUUAUAAUGUUAGGUUUACAAUUAUGUAUUUCUGACUGUAUGCUUAUAGAUCCAGCCUUAUCUAGACAACCCUAUUAUCAGUCCAAGUCAUUUCUGGGCUCGUAUAUUAUCCUAUGUUGAGGGCUGUAGGUUGAUUAAGAACCGAGUUUGGCCACUGUCUGCAAAACACUCCAAAGAUCAUUUAAUUAAAACAAACUUGCCACUAUUUUGUAAAGUUUUGUUUCUUAAAUAUUUUUUUGGAAAUAUCUACCAAACAUUUAUUCUUCAGUCUCAGACUCUGUGGGUAGCAUGAACCAAUUUGUUUUCCAAACAUAAAUAAUUGAUGUAAAAUGCGUGCAGGAACAAUAUUAAAGGGUUUAGAAGGCAUUUUCUGCUUGUUUUAAUGGAUUUCUUUGAAAAUUAAGUUUGUUAAUGAAUUUAUUUGGCAACAAGGGGUUACAAAAUUUAAAAUAAUGUUAUAAAUUUUCUAACCAAAAAAUGGUACAAAACUGAGGGUUGGUUAGUCAUGACUAGUCAAGGAUCCCUGAUCAUUUCACAUGUGUGCAAUUAAUUUGUUUAGCUGGUUUCAGUGGUAUCAUAUGAAAAUGAAUCCCCUCAGUCAGGUGAGGCACUAUCCUCUCUGCCUGUAAGACAUUCAAGGCUUGUUGUAACUACAGGGAUAAGCGUAGUUUCUGACCAGACUGUAUAAUUAUGCAGGCUGCACUUUUUAUGUCCCCCACCACUUUAGUGGGGGACAUAUUGUUUUUGCCGUCUGUUGGUCUGUUGGUUUGGUCAAACUUUAACAUUUACCAUAACUUUUGCAAUAUUGAAGAUAGCAACUUCAUAUUUGGCAUGCAUGUGUAUCUCAUGGAGCUGCACAUUUGAGUGGUGGAUGGUCAAGGUCAUCCUUCAAGGUAAAAAAAAAAAGUCAAUGCGGCGCAGAAGGGGACAUAGUGUUUUUGACAAACACAUUUCUUGUUGCACAUUGCAUAAUCCCCAUUUUGGCAUGAUGUGACUCAUAAAUUAGGACUGUGUUAUAUACACCUUUCCUUGAUGUACAUGUGUUUCUGUUAUUUGUAUUGAAUUCUGCUGAAUACUUCAGGGAAGAUUCUGCUCUUUUCCUUAAAAAAUGAUAGUAAAAAUAGUGUCACAUAAUACUUGAUUGUAUAUGUGUCAGGGCUUGUGAGUGGGAAAACCAGGCUUAAUGUAUUGGCAUAAAUUGUCGUUCCAGAUAAGCCGGUGCAGUCUAAAAACACAUUGAGAUAUUAUGUUUAAGGCCAGAGAGCACAGUGUUUAUUUCCAAGGGUAUAAAUAUAUCUUUUUUUUAUUCACUACUUACUAAGCCCGUGAAGUUUUACAUGCAUUUCAAGUAUAAUGGCGUGCUGUAUUAUAAUUCAAUCAUUUAUGUGACAAUUGUUUCGUAUUAAAGGUUUCUUGUUAAUUGUUGUUGCUAUUAUGAUUUAGAUCGUUUACAUUUUAAUCAAUGUCAAAAUGGUGCUAUUUGAUGUAUACUCACUCUUACACUUAAUCAUCUAUUAUAUAUUACUUUGUAUGUUCAACAAUCUAUUAUAUAUUACUUUGUAUGUUCAACAAAUUUGUAGCCUAUAAUUCAUUUUGAUAUGGAAAAUGCUAGUCUUUUCAUCUGAAAUCAAAAUAGAGUAUUUUUAUUUCACUGCCUCCUUUAAUUCAGUCAGAUAAUUUUGAUAUGCUCAAUUAAUUGCUAUAUAAUUCAGUCAGGUAAUUUUGAUAUGCUCAAAUAAUUGCUAUAUAAUUCAGUCAGGUAAUUUUUAUUUGCUCAAAUAUUUGGUUUUACCAUACCUUUAUUGAUGCUCUUAACUUUUUACAAAACAAACGUACAUUAUAGUGUAUUACUAUUUUUGUGAGCAACCCAGGGCUAUUGCAAAACCUUAGAUCUCCUUAAGUUUGUGAAGACAUUUUUUUUGCAAUCAAUCUGACACUUGAGGAAGGUGAAAUACAUGACAUACAAAAAAUGGGUCUUAAUGCAUGUGGUAAAAGCAUAGGUCCAGACCAGUCUGCGCAUGCACAGUCUUGUAAGUAGCAACCCUGUCUGCGUUGAAAUCAAGAAAGGUUUUGUUGUCUAAAUAGGUAUAGCUCCUUACCAGACUUCAUGAAAGCACAGACUUGUCAGAAGCAACCCAUUUUGAUAUUACGAGGCUCUCAAGUUGGAACAAUGUGAAGGUACAACAUGUUUUUUUUACAUUUAUUUCUCUCAUCAUUCUUUUGUUUUUCUUGGUCAGGCAACACAACUGACUUGUAGAGUUUAAGUAAUGUGUUCUUUUGUCUUAUAAUAAAAUGGUCCUUUAAAUGCUCCUGCUGAAAACAAGUACAUGCACCAAAUGGUGAAUAAUGGAGUGCUUGAUAAAAAUUCUUAUCUUGACCAAAAUUGUGUACAAGGCAAGUUCACAUUUUGUGACAUUUCUAUCUUAUGAUAUUUAGGCCAGCUUGAUGUCUUCACAUCUAGAACAAAAAUAUUUCAGAAGUAUUUUGUGUUAUGCUUUGGUUAUAAUAGCCAAAAAAUGUGUAUUUCAAUGUCUGAUAUUGUUUUUGAUUUUUUAUUUGUAUGAUAUGGUUCUAUAAAGAAGUUUUUAAUCCAAAUUUUCUUGAAUAAAUCUAAAGGGAAAUGACUA